rnacentral:lncRNA from 1 species
AACACUUGCACUGAGUUAAAUGUCAAUCGUAUUGAUCAUUUAACCCUAGAACGAUUCUUAAUCGUUGAUCAACCAUCUGAUCGGAUCAUGAACUCUAAUGUGUGUGACCUCAUAGGUCCGAACCUAAGCUGGUAGCAUAGGAAUAAAUUUCUAUACCAAUCAAAGUGACCAUCUAGCAAUGGUACCCGACGAUCGGAUAGAUCGAAUGUGUAGAACAACAUCCUUAGAACCCAUGCGGAUAUAGUUUUCAUAUAAUUCAUCCCCUUGACCAAAAUGAUCAUAGGAUACCCCAGAGUUUAACUGUCAACUCUGAUCAGGUUGUCCAUAUUGUAUUUCAAAAUAUCAAAUCCAUCUGAUGGAUUACCCUGGCCAAGGUUUUGCUAAAUUGAAAUACAGUGACUCAUUCUUCUCCAACUCUUGGAGUGGUCAAUCCCAUCUCGAUCACACUCUAACUUCGUAAGUACUUGACUGUGCCCAGAAGCCUUCCGUCUCUGAAUUAGAAAUUCAGUUAGUCCAGUACCAAAGCACAGUGAGUUGCUUGCAAGUCACUGAGGUGAUCUCAGGUCUAAGGGACACUUAUACCUAUAUCCCAUCAGAGACAUUCUCGACAGCAGAAUA